GUACGCGUGACGGUUAGCGACUUCGAGAGGGGCGAGGAUUGUUUCAUGUCGGCCGUUAGCAAUCUGUUUGACAAAACGUCCACUUACCAUGACUGUAAUGGCUUACUGUGAAAAGAACACUUGGAAGGAACUCACUUUUCAAAAUGCAACCUAUUUUGCACUCCUGCAUAUAUAUUGAAUAUGAAGACACACACGUUUUUUUGAACACAUUUCAACGUGACGUUUUAUUGAUAACUUAAGUACGAUCCUGCAACUAUUCUCCUUAUCACCAUUAUGAUAAACACACUCUGGUCAUAGAGGGCCAUGUGACAUCCAAUCGUCGCUAGAGCAGAGAUGAGUGGGGAGAUGCACAACGCUCCGGUUUUAGGCAGAGAUGAGUGGGGAGAUGUACAGCGCUCCGGUUUUAGGCGAUACCAAAAGCAUGGCGCUAAAUCGUAGCGGCGA